GCGCCGGUGGUGUGAAGGCGUAGAGCAUUCCCGCCCGGUCAGAGGGAGGUGCGGGUUCGAGUCCCGCCUGGCGCU
rfam:Heligmosomoides polygyrus genome assembly, scaffold: HPBE_scaffold0010481